UAAACCAGGAUUAGGCAUCUUCUGAGGGCAUAAAAAGUGUGUACAUUUUUACUUUCCUACAGGGUCCCCACCAGAUACAUACAUAUGGCUAUUGAGCACUUGAAAUGUGUGUAGUCUGAAAUGAUCUGUGCUGUGGCAUCUGUGCUGUGCCUGUCAUUCAUCAAGAACAGUUUGUUUUCUGCUUAUGGAAUCACAAAAAUAUUUAAUCUGAAGCCUCAGUGGUGCAGCCAUCUUUGAGGCUGCAGAUCAUAGGAUCCUUCCUUCUCUGUCUGGAUGCCCUGGAGGGCCAGCAUUCUCGGAGGUGGCCAGGGUCCUCUGAGAAGCCAGCGGCCAAGUGGUACCUGAGUUCAGUGAAUGGCAAAAAAACAGUUGAUUGGAGUGUGAGGUGCAGAAGAAAUGAUUUUUAACCAAACGAUGGAGAAUUUGAUCAUGACACAUCUGUAGAAGAGCAUGGAGAACUUGUGAUGGCUCUUCUCUGCCUAGUGAAAGGGCAGGGGGUUGAGGGCUAUCCACUGUUUAUCUUAUGAUCUCUUCUCUUGAUAAAGCCUAACACAAAGAAAGCACAAAUGAAGAAAGCAAGGUUCAGUGAAUGACCCAGAACUGGCCACAUGACCUCCCUGGCCUUGGUUUACUCAUGCGGGCAAGGAGUUAGUUAACACCAGAUGUCGUCCUAUGUUCUGAGGCUGUGGGAACAACAGGGCACUGCAUGGUUUCUCUGCAAAGGCUACUGAACCCAUGGGGUAUGGGAAGCACAGAGGAGACUGAAGCAGUCCUUAGUCUCUGGUUUGCUGCAGUGAGCUCUGCACUGAAGCCAGCUGCAGGGAACUCUUACAUGAGCAAGCACACAGGACCUUUCCCAAGGCAACCUCUGAUUAGAAAUACAGAGGUCCCUGGCAGAGGCAAAGGCCAAAGGUGCAUGAGAUGUUCUUUUUUUUUUUUUUUUUUAAAAAAAAAAAUUAAUGCUGUGUUAUCAAAGAGAUCACAGAGGGAGAUCUCUCAGUGGGAGAUUCAUCAACAACACAAUCAACAGGUAUUGAUUGAAACUUCUUGGGCUCAGGCUUUUGCAGGUAGAGGAGGGAUCCUGAUGUCAGGAAUCCUGGUCUCAGGGAGCUCAGUUUCCAUUUGGGUGAUGAAGGCACUCUCACAUCAGACUGUUGUAGUCUGUAUGUGCGGAGAGAGUCAGGACUGAGAGGUCACGAAAGAUUUUCUGCAGGAAGCUGGACUCAUUUUGAUUUUUGAAGGACAGAUACAGUUUGAAGCAGCAGACAGAAGGAAGAGGCUCAAGAUGUCUGAAACAGUGAAGACACAGGUCUGGCUAGGGCAGAGGAGACCAGGUAGAGACCAUGGUUGAUGCCCCUUGAUGAGUGCUGGUCAUACUGUGUAUGCAUCUCUAUUUAUAUGUUUAACAGCUUUAUUGACAUACAAUAAACUUCACAUACUUAAAGUACACAGUAUGAUCAGGUUUGACUAAUGUAUGCACCCAUGAGACGGUCACAACCAUCAAGAUAAUGAACAAUCUGUCAACCACAAAGGGCUCUUGGAGUCCGUUUGUAAUUCCCUCCCUGCUGCCACUCACUGCUCCUCAUCCCCAGGCAGCCCAGUGAUCUGCUGUUGCUACAGAUUCAUUUGCAUCUUUGAGUAUUUUCUAUAAAUGGAAUCUAACAGUAGAUACUCUUUUGACUGGCCUUUUCCAUGGGCAUAGUUAUUUUGAUAUUCAUCCACGUUUUAUGUAUAUAAGCAGUUCAUUCUCUUUGUUGCGGAGUAAUAUUCCAUUGUAUGAUUAUAACCAACAUUUGUUUUUCUGUUUACAAG